AGCAGCCGCGGUAAUUCCAGCUCCAAUGGCGUAUAUUAAAGUUGUUGCAGUUAAAAAGCUCGUAGUUGAAUUUCGGGAUCAUCAGGUCGGUCGUGCCUCCGGUAUGUACUGGUCUCGAUGGUUCCUCCUUCUUGUAGAACCGUAAUGCCAUUAAUUUGGUGUUGCGGGAGAACAGGACUGUUACUUUGAAAAAAUUAGAGUGUUUAAAGCAGGCGAUCGCUUGAAUACAUUAGCAUGGAAUAAUGAAAUAGGACGUUCGAUCCUAUUUUGUUGGUUUCUAGGAUUGACGUAAUGAUUAAUAGGGAUAGUUGGGGGCAUUAGUAUUCAAUUGUCAGAGGUGAAAUUCUUGGAUUUAUUGAAGACUAACUACUGCGAAAGCAUUUGCCAAGGAUGUUUUCAUUAAUCAAGAACGAAAGUUAGGGGAUCGAAGACGAUCAGAUACCGUCGUAGUCUUAACCAUAAACUAUGCCGACUAGGGAUCGGAUGAUGUUAAUUUUUUAAUGACUCAUUCGGCGCCUUA
rnacentral:rRNA from 1 species